UACGGGGGGGGCAAGCGUUGUUCGGAAUUACUGGGCGUAAAGGGUUCGUAGGUGGCUUGCUCAGUCAGACGUGAAAUCCCUCAGCUUAACUGGGGAACUGCGUCUGAUACUGGAUGGCUUGAGUUUGGGAGAGGGACGCGGAAUUCCAGGUGUAGCGGUGAAAUGCGUAGAUAUCUGGAGGAACACCGGUGGCGAAGGCGGCGUCCUGGACCAACACUGACACUGAGGAGCGAAAGCCAGGGGAGCAAACGGG
rnacentral:rRNA from 1 species